CACCCAACAACAAUAACAUUUAAAGAAUGCCAUGCACAUAUAUAAUCCUGAAUCGUUAACUUUUUUUUUUCUUUUACGACAAAAGACUGAAUCGUUAACUUUGUUAUCACCAACAAGUUGCCACAGAACAUGUCCAAAUUCAUAAAAAUAAAAUGUAAAUAAGGAAUGCACAAUGCUGGCUCUCCCCUGUCAUAUACAUGUUUUGACUGUUUUCCAUCACCACAUGCAAGGCAGAUUAAAUUUCAAAUCAGUGUUUUCUAGUACAAUAAGUUGGAAAAAUACACGAAAAGAUGAACAUCGCUUGCUAGUCUAAUCCUCCUCAACGAGGUAUGUUUAUUUAGGUUUAAUAGUUGCGUAUAAAUGGUAACAUCAAAUUUGACCCCCCAAAAAGUGGUCAACAUCAAACUGUUCAGGCAUGCAUGCUGUGAUUUGAUUAAUACAAUGAACUAAUGAAGCUUUGAUUGUGACAAAAUUACCGGAGUAUUAGAGAAGCCUUACUAAUUGAUAGAGAUUGUGUUCAUUUUCGUUGAUUAAAGUAGUUUUAAUUUGUUCCUUUUUGUGAAGAUAAAUUGAGAUAAAUUGAGUCACAUGUCAAGUAAUAGCCAAAAAGUUAAUAAUUGGUCCUUUUUUUUUAUAGAAAAUAAAAAGUGAGUAAAUCUAUAUAUAAUAGCAAACCUUUAUUUGAUGAUUGAUGAUGUCACCAAUUUUUUGUAGGAAAAAAAAUUUAAAUCCAACCGUCAUAUUUACUCCUUAUUUUUGAUCUACGGACACAUCUGGCUCUGAAUAGCUUAGGUCAUAAAAAAUUGUAGCAUUUAACCGUCUUUCCUCGAAUCUGUUUCAUCAUCAAACAACGGGACCCUUAAAUCACACCUCUCUGAUGCAAUAUAUGCACUGUAUAUAGCGUCUUUACCUGAGUCGUUUUAUCCUCAAACAUCAUAACCCUUAAAUCACAUCUCUCUCUAUACAUAUAUAUAUAUGUAUAUAUAGGCUCCUGUUUUACAGAUAAUGCAAGGUAGUCACUCAGCAGACGUCUCUUCUAUGGGACACCUCGCAAACGCCGUCUUCAUUUCGUGCAGUUAAGGUUAAUAUAGGAAUCCCUGGCAGUGAUUACAAAAAGCAGUCAGUCGUGGCGUACAAGACAGCAAAGACCGGGGUUGGUAUGGCAUCGAUGGGUGUGACGAGACCAGAGCUUGUAAUGAAGUCAAUUGUUCUGGUGGUUAUGGUUGGUGUCUUAGGUAUUUACGGUUUUGAUCAUAGCUGUGAUCAUCAGUAUUGGAAUCAACCCAAAGGCAAGUCUUACUAUCUAUUCGAUGGCUAUGACCAUCUCUCUUCCGGUCUCGCUUGUGGUCUCGUCGGUCUCUCCACCGGUAUGGCUAUCGGAAUCAUCGGCGAAGCCGGUGUCAGAGGGCGAGCACUUCACAGCUAAAGGCAUCAGGAUGGAGAACACGGUUGGACCAGAAGGAGGACAGGUGGUGGCAUUGAGAACACAUCUCUAGACAAUAAUGUGUCUAGGAACCGGAAAAUACCCGCAAAAUUUUUUGGUUCUUAUUCGGGUUUUUCCGGUUAGUUCGGAUAAUUCAUGUUAAAUAUCGGAUAUUUUGGAAAACAUAUCAAAUAAUUAUAAUGAUUCAGAUAAAAUUUUAGGUUAUUUAGGAAUACUUUGAAUAUUUUGGAUAAAAAUAUCAUGAUCCUUUCGGAUA